CGAACGCUGGCGGCAUGCCUAACACAUGCAAGUCGAACGAACCCUUCGGGGUUAGUGGCGCACGGGUGCGUAACACGUGGGAAUCUGCCCUUUGCUUCGGAAUAACAGUUAGAAAUGACUGCUAAUACCGGAUGAUGUCGAAAGACCAAAGAUUUAUCGGCAAAGGAUGAGCCCGCGUAGGAUUAGGUAGUUGGUGGGGUAAAGGCCUACCAAGCCGACGAUCCUUAGCUGGUCUGAGAGGAUGAUCAGCCACACUGGGACUGAGACACGGCCCAGACUCCUACGGGAGGCAGCAGUGGGGAAUAUUGGACAAUGGGCGAAAGCCUGAUCCAGCAAUGCCGCGUGAGUGAUGAAGGCCUUAGGGUUGUAAAGCUCUUUUACCAGGGAUGAUAAUGACAGUACCUGGAGAAUAAGCUCCGGCUAACUCCGUGCCAGCAG
rnacentral:rRNA from 1 species